rnacentral:lncRNA from 1 species
CUUGAAUUGAGUGAAGCUCUGGAAUGUACUCCCGACUGGGGAAAGAGAAGUCAGUCCCCAGAAGAAACUCCACUUGGAGCCAGGUGCCCUGAGUGUAUAAAUACAGAUGCAAAGGCCGUGAGAUCAUGGGCAACUGUAGAAUACGUACUGCUGGAAGGAAGAAGAAAGAAGGGCUUAAAUAUCCAUGCAGGGAUUUAGAAAUGGCGACAGUGUGCUUCCUGAAGACUCCUUACUCGUGAAACAGUCACUGCUCCUGAGGCCACUGGUUUUACAAGUGGUGAUUCAAAACCUGAGGU